GGGAAGGUGGCUAAGUGGUAGAGCACUUGCCUUGCAUGCAUGAGGCCCUGGGUUCAAUUCCUCAGCACCCCA
rnacentral:tRNA from 1 species